UCAAUCUAAAUAUAUAAAUAUGUAGCAUGCGAUCCACGAGCAAAUUAAUAAACAAAUAAAAACCUGAUGAUUGCUUUAUUUCCGCACCAAAUUCAUCUUGACAAAAAAUGAUCAUUCCCUCUUUUUAAAUUCCUCUGCUCCCGCCUCAUCUCCACUUUCCACCUUUCUCACUCUUCCUUCUUCCUCUAUCUUUGUCAUUUGAAGCUUCAUAACCUCCAUCAAUGGCGUCAACUGUUACACUCAACUCCAUUGAAGCUCAGAAAUUCGAGAACCUUCCUUCUGCUAUCUCCGGCCUCAACCAAAUCAGGUUGUUGAUGGAGUUCAGGUUCUUUAACUAGAAACAGCUACUGGUGCUGCAAUUAAGUUCUUUGGUAAUGCUAUUGGUAUAAAUGUGCCUUGCUCGAUCACGAUUUGCUCCUUGUCCAGGUUACUUAACCUACAAUUAGAAAUGUUACUAAUUUGUAUUCUAAUACAUGACAUGUUUUACAAUGUUAUUUGGUUUACUACAGUUGGAUCUGUACACUGUUGUUAAUGGCUUUGUGAUAAAGAACCGGGCUAAAAUCAACCCCACUUCAGGAAAGUUCUUUGAUUUUUGAUGGUUUUAGGUUCUUAGUUAAAAUUAAAUGUUCGUAUGAGCAGGUCAGCAACUUCUUUAGCCAGUUUACGUUUAAACCUGUACCACUGAGCUAGAUUGAUUUAAGGUGACAAGAGAUAUGUGGUUUGGUGCUGAAA